AGAGUUUGAUCCUGGCUCAGGAUGAACGCUAGCGGCAGGCUUAACACAUGCAAGUCGAGGGGCAGCGAGGGUAGCAAUACCUGUCGGCGACCGGCGCAAGGGUGCGUAACGCGUGAGCAACAUGCCCGUAUCCGGGGGAUAGCCCGCCGAAAGGCGGAUUAAUACCCCGUAGACCCUUAGGGCCGCAUGGUCCGGAGGGUAAAGCUUCGGCGGGAAUGGAUGGGCAUGCGUGCCAUUAGCUGGCUGGCGGGGUAACGGCCUACCAAGGCGACGAUGGUUAGCGGGUCUGAGAGGAUGAUCCGCCACACUGGAACUGAAACACGGACCAGACUCCUACGGGAGGCAGCAGUGAGGAAUAUUGGUCAAUGGGCGGAAGCCUGAACCAGCCAUGCCGCGUGCAGGAAGACGGCCCUACGGGUUGUAAACUGCUUUUCCCCGGGAAGAAUAAGGCCCCUGCGGGGGUCGAUGCCGGUACCGGGGGAAUAAGGAUCGGCUAACUCCGUGCCAGCAGCCGCGGUAAUACGGAGGGUCCUAGCGUUAUCCGGAUUUACUGGGUUUAAAGGGUGCGUAGGCGGGAAAAUAAGUCAGUGGUGAAAUACUGCCGCUUAACGGUAGAAUUGCCAUUGAUACUGUUUUUCUUGAGUAUGGUUGAGGUAGGUGGAAUGUGUUGUGUAGCGGUGAAAUGCUUAGAUAUGUCGCAGAACGCCGAUUGCGAAGGCAGCUCGCCGGGCCGACAUCGACGCUGAGGCACGAAAGCGUGGGGAUCGAACAGGAUUAGAUACCCUGGUAGUCCACGCCGUAAACGAUGAUGGCUGGAUGUUGGCGAUACUCCCUCUGUGCCGCAGCGAAAGCAUUAAGUAAUCCACCUGGGGAGUACGUUCGCAAGAAUGAAACUCAAAGGAAUUGACGGGGGCCCGCACAAGCGGAGGAGCAUGUGGUUUAAUUCGAUGAUACGCGAGGAACCUUACCUGGGCUCGAACGUAUAGGGAAUUAUGCCGAAAGGUAUAAGCCAGCAAUGGCCGUAUACGAGGUGCUGCAUGGUUGUCGUCAGCUCGUGCCGUGAGGUGUCGGCUUAAGUGCCAUAACGAGCGCAACCCUUAUCAUUAGUUGCCAGCGGGUCAUGCCGGGAACUCUAAAGAGACUGCCACCGUAAGGUGUGAGGAAGGGGGGGAUGACGUCAAAUCAGCACGGCCCUUACGUCCGGGGCGACACACGUGUUACAAUGGUAGGUACAGAGGGCAGCUACCCAGCGAUGGGAUGCGAAUCUCUAAAACCUAUCUCAGUUCGGAUCGGAGUCUGCAACUCGACUCCGUGAAGUUGGAUUCGCUAGUAAUCGCGCAUCAGCCAUGGCGCGGUGAAUACGUUCCCGGGCCUUGUACACACCGCCCGUCAAGCCAUGGAAGCUGGGGGUGCCUGAAGUUCGUGACCGCAAGGAGCGACCUAAGGCAAAACUGGUAACUGGGGCUAAGUCGUAACAAGGUAACC
rnacentral:rRNA from 1 species